AUACGAAGGGGGCUAGCGUUGUUCGGAAUCACUGGGCGUAAAGCGCACGUAGGCGGACAUUUAAGUCAGGGGUGAAAGCCUGGAGCUCAACUCCAGAAUUGCCUUUGAUACUGGGUGUCUUGAGGCCGGUAGAGGUGAGUGGAACCGCUAGUGUAGAGGUGAAAUUCGUAGAUAUUAGCAAGAACACCAGUGGCGAAGGCGGCUCACUGGACCGGUACUGACGCUGAGGUGCGAAAGCGUGGGGAGC
rnacentral:rRNA from 1 species